CCAUUUAAGGAAAAAAAAAAAAAAAAAAAUUUUUUUUUUUUUUUUUUUCCUUAAAU
rnacentral:ribozyme from 1 species